AUUGAACGCUGGCGGCAGGCCUAACACAUGCAAGUCGGGCGGCAGCGGGAAAGUAGCUUGCUACUUUUGCCGGCGAGCGGCGGACGGGUGAGUAAUGCCUGGGGAUCUGCCCAGUCGAGGGGGAUAACUACUGGAAACGGUAGCUAAUACCGCAUACGCCCUACGGGGGAAAGCAGGGGACCUUCGGGCCUUGCGCGAUUGGAUGAACCCAGGUGAGAUUAGCUAGUUGGUGAGGUAAUGGCUCACCAAGGCGACGAUCCCUAGCUGGUCUGAGAGGAUGAUCAGCCACACUGGAACUGAGACACGGUCCAGACUCCUACGGGAGGCAGCAGUGGGGAAUAUUGCACAAUGGGGGAAGCCCUGAUGCAGCCAUGCCGCGUGUGUGAAGAAGGCCUUCGGGUUGUAAAGCACUUUCAGCGAGGAGGAAAGGUCAGUAGCUAAUAUCUGCUGGCUGUGACGUUACUCGCAGAAGAAGCACCGGCUAACUCCGUGCCAGCCGCCGCGGUAAGAC
rnacentral:rRNA from 1 species